rnacentral:snoRNA from 1 species
CUUCUCUCAGGGUCGCACCUGGAGAGUUUCCAGUACUCUACCAGUCUCGGCUACAGGAGGGAGAGUCAAGCAGAGACCUACCCAUUCCAUUCCUAGCUUGGACAGUGGCUAGCAGGUGGAAGGCAAUAUUCUACAAGU